GUUUCACGAGUGGUGGGCGUCCGGCGCCCUGCAGACGCCGCGGGGGAACUGCUCCGCCUGCGCAGACGUGACUGCAGUGCUGGAGCUGAGCAUGUCUGCGGGGAUCAACAGACACACACAGCCCCUGCUGCUCAAGGGUGGAGAGUCUCUGUCUCACCGUGUGUCUCAUCUGGAGCAGUUCUCACAGACGCUCAGAGAAACACCGGGCCAACUUCACCCUGCCUGCUCUGGUAACCAGCAGCCCUCGGGUUAUUAGAUGAUACAUCAGCAUCUGUAUCUGUGUGUGUUUUGAAGCUUGUGUGUGUGUGUGUGUGUGUGUGUGCUUCAGGAGUUUCUCGUCCAGUCCCAGAGAGACGCUUCUCCAGUGGCUGUUUCCCGACACUGAGCUCUGCCCCUCUGCUGGAGAACACAGGCACAACACUGCAGCACUGCCAGCUGACCGACAGCACCAGCACACAACACACGAGAGUGCAGGUGUGGGGUUGGCUGGUGUUGGGCUGAAGGGUCUCCGUGGGUUCGUGUUGUUCCCGUCCAG